rnacentral:tRNA from 1 species
AGUAUUAUGACUGAUCAAAGGUGAUAAAUUGUAAAUUUAUUAAUGAAAAUUUUUUUUUUCUAAUACUA